GACAGAGGUGCCGAGCGUUAGGCGGAAUCACUGGGCUUAAAGCGUGUAUAGGCGGAUGGGUAAGUACCUUGUGAAAUCCCACGGCUCAACCGUGGAACUGCUCGGUAUACUGCUCGUCUUGAGCCAACUAGGGGCGACCGGAACAAACGGUGGAGCGGUGAAAUGCGUAGAUAUCGUUUGGAACGCCGAUGGUGAAAACAGGUCGCUGGGGCUGUGCUGACGCUGAGACACGAAAGCCAGGGGAGCGAACGGG
rnacentral:rRNA from 1 species